rnacentral:rRNA from 1 species
UACGGGGGAGCAAGCGUUGUUCGGAUUUACUGGGCGUAAAGGGCGCGUAGGCGGCCAGCACAAGUCAGUUGUGAAAUCUCCGGGCUUAACUCGGAAAGGUCAACUGAUACUGUGCGGCUAGAGUGCAGAAGGGGCAACUGGAAUUCUCGGUGUAGCAGUGAAAUGCGUAGAUAUCGAGAGGAACACCAGUGGCGAAGGCGGCUAGCUGGGCCAGUUCUGACGCUGAGGCGCGAAAGCGUGGGGAGCAAACAGG